GCGUCGGUGGCAGAGCGGACGAAUGCGCCUGACUGUAGAUCAGGAGCCCUCAGGGGCCACGGUGGUUCGAAUCCAUCCCGGCGCACCA
rnacentral:tRNA from 1 species